rnacentral:lncRNA from 1 species
GGAAAUUAUAGGUUCAUAAUAGGAAUACCUGGUUUCUCUUGGGAGUCAAGGAAAUGAUUGUUGAAGAAAUGAUGUUCGUGCUGAGCUCACAAGAAUGAAGAAGAGGCCUUUACUGGGUCAAAGGCUGGAGAGAGUGUUCCAAAUAUGGAACAGAACAUGUAAGCACCCUGAGGCAGAAAGAAUGGCCAUUCAGUGGAUUGAAAGAAAACACUGAAGCAAGAAAGGAGCAAAAAGGACAGAUGGGUUCCAUGAAGAAAGCAAGCCCAGAUGAUGCAAGGAGUUUGCAGAAGAGGAAACUGAGGCACAGAGAACUUGAGCAACUUGCUCAUCGUCACACCAGGACUAAGCAGAUAAGGAGAAAGAGGUUAGCAGCAGGCCUGCCAUCUGUUGCUGGGGGACUCCUCAAGAAAGAAAGAAAAGACAUCUCAUCAGAUCUCAUUGUAAAUAUGCUAAUGACAGACUUCCUAGCAAGCAUACUAGUACUAUUUACUAACUGUGAUUCAAAGGGAGAAAGUGAAAUAACAACUUAAAUGUUACGAGCAACUCUUUCUGCCAUUCCACUUAAUGAACCUAUAUCCAUAAAUCCUCUUGAGUUGAGAGCUAUGAAUCAGAUAUUUCUUCCAUAAGUCCCAGUGAAUCUGCUGGUGCCAGCAUCUCCUGAGUUUCCAGGAAAGCCGCUGUCUCAAGAGUAUCAAGGAGCGGAGGCUUCCCAGACCUCAACUCCUCACUCCCGGCACUCAAACCUGCCUCAAACAGGAAGACGAGACAAGAGACAACUGCGACGGAUGCCCACCUACCAUCCUCCUAUCUCACCAUUCCCGCCCCGACCCCCCCGCCCCUACCCCAGCAAGCAGCCUCUCAAGGCCAAAUGCAGGCUGGUGGGAAAACGCCAGCCUGCACAGCUAGAUGCGCCCCCUCCCUUACCCAAAACCCCAAAUAAAAAUCCCUACCCAUUCCUCAUCGGGGAGCUAGCAAUUUUUGAGGCAUGAGCCCUUGCUUUGCUCCCUGUGCCUGGCAUAGUAAAAACCUUUCCUCUUCCACUCAAGACUCUGUUCUCAUUAUUUGGAUUGGCAUCGGGUUCAGAG